rnacentral:rRNA from 1 species
GUAGGGUGCAAGCGUUAAUCGGAAUUACUGGGCGUAAAGCGUGCGCAGGCGGUUUUGUAAGUCUGUCGUGAAAGCCCCGGGCUUAACCUGGGAAUUGCGAUGGAGACUGCAAGGCUUGAAUCUGGCAGAGGGGGGUAGAAUUCCACGUGUAGCAGUGAAAUGCGUAGAGAUGUGGAGGAACACCGAUGGCGAAGGCAGCCCCCUGGGUCAAGAUUGACGCUCAUGCACGAAAGCGUGGGGGGAGCAAACAGGAUUAGAUACCCUGGUAGUCCACGCCCUAAACGAUGUCUACUAGUUGUCGGGUCUUAAUUGACUUGGUAACGCAGCUAACGCGUGAAGUAGACCGCCUGGGAGUACGGUCGCAAGAUUA